UGGGGAAUUUUGGACAAUGGGCGAAAGCCUGAUCCAGCCAUUCCGCGUGAGUGAAGAAGGCCUUCGGGUUGUAAAGCUCUUUCGCAAGGGAAGAAAACUUACACAAUAACACUGUGUGAGGCUGACGGUACCUUGAUAAGAAGCACCGGCUAACUACGUGCCAGCAGCCGCGGUAAUACGUAGGGUGCGAGCGUUAAUCGGAAUUACUGGGCGUAAAGCGUGCGCAGGCGGUUAGAUAAGUCAGAUGUGAAAUCCCCGAGCUCAACUUGGGAACUGCGUUUGAAACUGUCUAGCUAGAGUAUGGGAGAGGGGGGUAGAAUUCCACGUGUAGCAGUGAAAUGCGUAGAGAUGUGGAGGAAUACCAAUGGCGAAGGCAGCCCCCUGGCCUACUACUGACGCU
rnacentral:rRNA from 1 species